rnacentral:rRNA from 1 species
GACAGAGGUGCCAAGCGUUAGGCGGAAUCACUGGGCUUAAAGCGUGUGUAGGCGGACUCCUAAGUACUUUGUGAAAUCCCACGGCUCAACCGUGGAACUGCUUGGUAUACUGGGAGUCUUGAGCCAGCUAGGGGCUACCGGAACAAAUGGUGGAGCGGUGAAAUGCGUAGAUAUCAUUUGGAACGCCAAUGGUGAAAACAGGUAGCUGGGGCUGUGCUGACGCUGAGACACGAAAGCCAGGGGAGCGAACGGG